UCGGUAAAAUGUGUUUAUUUUUUAUCACUUUAAGGAAAAUUGAAUAGAGUAAAGUAUAUUAUGGAAUUAAGUGUAGUAUAGUAUAAUAGUAGUAUAGUAUGGAAUUAAGCUUAAGUAUAGUAUGGAAUUAAGUGGUCAAUCCGCCUAAUCUGAUCUGGAUCUAGGUAAAAAGUCUGGAAAUUAAAUGUGCAAUUUGAAAAAAAUAGAUUUUGAACAAAAGAAAUCUUUUAAAUAAACAAAGAGUUCAAAAUAUUAGUGGUAAGAACUGUCAAAAACUUGUGAUAGCUAUGAUGAAGAGAGUUUCAGAAAAAAUUUAUAUUCCAACUUGCUGAAAUGAAAAAAAUUUUAGUGGUUUGAACUGCACUGUUCUCUAAUAAUCCAG